rnacentral:tRNA from 1 species
GCCUUUGUGGUGUAACGGUUAGCAAAAUCGGCACGUAUUCGAAAGGUCCAGGUUCGAAUCCCGGCGAGGGCA